AAUGCACACAAACCCUAAGGACAUUAUUGUAAUGUAUAAUGUUCUAGCUGUGUGUGCAAACAAUAAUAGCACCUUGUCGCCUUUCAUCUGCUGUUGUGCUAAUGGAAGUGAAAUCAAGGUGUAACAGCU
ensembl:snoRNA